rnacentral:sRNA from 1 species
UCUUGAUGAUGAUGGCGACGAUGAUAAUGAUGAUGAUGUUGAUGCUGAUGAU